UACGGAGGGUGCGAGCGUUGUCCGGAAUCAUUGGGCGUAAAGGGCGCGUAGGCGGCCGUCCCAAGCGUGCGGUGAAAGUCAGGGGCUCAACCCCUGAUCGGCCGUGCGAACUGGGGGCGUCGAGCACUGUAGAGGCAGGCGGAAUUCCGGGUGUAGCGGUGGAAAUGCGUAGAGAUCCGGAAGAACACCGGUGGCGAAGGCGGCCUGCUGGGCAGUGGCUGACGCUGA
rnacentral:rRNA from 1 species